rnacentral:rRNA from 1 species
AACGAACGCUGGCGGCAUGCCUAACACAUGCAAGUCGAACGAGAUCUUCGGGUCUAGUGGCGCACGGGUGCGUAACGCGUGGGAAUCUGCCCUUUGGUUCGGAAUAACAGUUGGAAACGACUGCCAAUACCGGAUGAUGACGAAAGUCAAAAGAUUUAUCGCCAGAGGAUGAGCCCGCGUAGGAUUAGCUAGUUAGUGUGGUAAAGGCGCACCAAGGCGACGAUCCUUAGCUGGUCUGAGAGGAUGAUCAGCCACACUGGGACUGAGACACGGCCCAGACUCCUACAGGAGGCAGCAGUGGGGAAUAUUGGACAAUGGGCGAAAGCCUGAUCCAGCAAUGCCGCGUGAGUGAUGAAGGCCUUAGGGUUGUAAAGCUCUUUUACCCGGGAUGAUAAUGACAGUACCGGGAGAAUAAGCUCCGGCUAACUCCGUGCCAGCAGCCGCAGUAA